rnacentral:rRNA from 1 species
AUGACUACUUGCCUCUCUGACUUUAUUAAAGAUCAUUCCCUGGACUUUCUUUGUUUGCAAGAAACUAAGAAGAAUAGUAACCCCUGGUUUUUGAGGAAAAUAGAUACUUAUAAUGCCUUUGAGUGGAACUGGGUUCCCUCUCUGGGCAAGGCUGGAGGCAUGCUUUGUGGGGUUAAAAAAAAGAAACUAGAAGUUGUUUCCUAGUCUCUAGGCAGGUUCAUUAUGCAAGUGAUUGUGUUUGAUGUCGAGAAAAAGUGUAUUUGGGCUCUUCUAAAUGUGUAUGGUGCUGCUCAUGAUGAGCAAAAAGAGGAAUCCCUCUAUGAGCUCGCUAGUUUCUGUAGCCAUCUCUCAAUUCCUUAUAUUGUGGGGGGAGACUUCAAUAUUCUUAGGCACUGUGGUGAGAAGAAUAAAAAAAUGGCUACUUCUCAAUAUGUUGAUAGAUUCAAUGACAUCAUUAAUACUAUGUGCUUGAGAGAAAUCUUUAUAGAAGGGGGCUUGUAUACUUGGUCUAACAAUCAAAGUCACCCUACCCUGGAAAAGCUUGACAGAAUCCUCAUGAGCAAUGAUUGGGAGGACUUGUUCCCUUUAGUUACUAUUAGGAAAUUGGUUAGAGACCUCUCUGACCACAACUCUCUCCUUCUCUCCACUAACAGUAAUCGCCCUCAAACUCCCAAACCUCGUGAAUUCAGGUUUGAAAUGAGUUGGAUGACCAAGGAGGAAUUCCUCCCGUUGGUUAGCAAAAUUUGGCAGAGACCU